rnacentral:rRNA from 1 species
CCUACGGGUGGCAGCAGUGGGGAAUAUUGCGCAAUGGGCGAAAGCCUGACGCAGCGACGCCGCGUGAGGGAUGAAGGUCUUCGGAUCGUAAACCUCUGUCAGCAGGGAAGAACGGUCACUGUGCUAAUCAGCAGUGAAUUGACGGUACCUGCAAAGGAAGCACCGGCUAACUCCGUGCCAGCAGCCGCGGUAAUACGGAGGGUGCAAGCGUUAAUCGGAAUUACUGGGCGUAAAGCGCUCGUAGGCGGUAUGUCAAGUCAAGGGUGAAAUCCCCGCGCUCAACGUGGGAACUGCCUUUGAAACUGGCAAACUGGAGUAUGUGAGAGGAUAGUGGAAUUCGAGGUGUAGGAGUGAAAUGCGUAGAUAUCUGGAGGAACAUCAGUGGCGAAGGCGACUAUCUGGCACAUAACUGACGCUGAGGAGCGAAAGCGUGGGUAGCAAACAGGAUUAGAUACCCUAGUAGUC